rnacentral:rRNA from 1 species
UACGGAGGAUGCAAGCGUUAUCCGGAAUGAUUGGGCGUAAAGGGUCCGCAGGUGGCAGUGUAAGUCAGCUGUCAAAGACUGAGGCUUAACCUCAUCAAGGCAGUGGAAACUACACAGCUAGAGUACGGUCGGGGUAGAAGGAAUUCCUGGUGUAGCGGUGAAAUGCGUAGAGAUCAGGAAGAACACCGGUGGCGAAAGCGGUCUGCUAGGCCUGUACUGACACUGAGGGACGAAAGCGAGGGGAGCGAAUGGG